UUAGUUGGUCGUGCUGACGUGCAGCGCGGCCCAGGCGGGGUGCGAGUGGCGCAGUCGGAACCCGCUGCGGCCCCUGAGGAAGCGAGGAGGCGUCGGUGUCGGCUGAGGCGGGCGGACCAGCGAGGCGAGGCGGUGGCUCCACACCCCGAGGGAUUCGGGAGCUCGAGCACCGGCAGCGGCGGCACCUCUCCCCCUCGGAGGCGGCGGGCGGAGGCGGAGGCGGCGGCGGGUGAGAGGGAGCGGUGGUGCCCCCCUCCCCGGCCACGGGGCCAUGUACAACGGGAUCGGGCUGCCGACGCCCCGGGGCAGCGGCACCAACGGCUACGUCCAGCGCAACCUGUCCCUGGUGCGGGGCCGCCGGGGUGAGCGGCCUGACUACAAGGGAGAGGAGGAACUGCGGCGCCUGGAGGCUGCCCUGGUGAAGCGGCCUAAUCCUGACAUCCUGGACCACGAGCGCAAGCGGCGCGUGGAGCUGCGAUGCCUCGAGCUGGAGGAGAUGAUGGAAGAGCAGGGGUACGAGGAACAGCAAAUUCAGGAAAAAGUGGCGACCUUUCGACUCAUGUUGCUGGAGAAGGAUGUGAACCCUGGGGGCAAGGAGGAGACCCCAGGGCAGAGGCCAGCAGUAACUGAGACUCACCAGUUGGCAGAAUUGAAUGAAAAGAAGAAUGAGCGACUUCGUGCUGCCUUUGGCAUCAGUGAUUCCUAUGUGGAUGGCAGCUCUUUUGAUCCUCAGCGUCGUGCUCGAGAAGCUAAACAACCAGCUCCCGAGCCUCCCAAACCUUACAGCCUUGUUCGGGAGUCCAGCAGUUCUCGUUCACCAACCCCAAAGCAAAAGAAAAAGAAAAAGAAGAAAGAUAGAGGGCGCAGGUCAGAGAGCAGCUCUCCUCGACGAGAGAGGAAGAAGAGCUCUAAGAAGAAGAAGCACAGGUCAGAAUCUGAAUCCAAGAAACGGAAGCAUAGGUCUCCCACUCCAAAGAGCAAACGUAAAUCUAAGGACAAAAAGCGGAAGCGGUCACGAAGUACAACACCAGCUCCCAAGAGCCGCCGGGCCCCUCGUUCAACUUCUGCUGACUCUGCUUCUUCUUCUGACACGUCUCGCAGUCGGUCUCGAAGUGCUGCAGCAAAAACUCAUGCAACAGCCUUGACUGGGAAAAGUCCUUCCCCUGCUUCAGGGCAUCGAGGGGAGGGAGAUGCAUCUUCCAGGGAACCAGGCACCACCAACACAGGGCAGCCUAGCAGCCUCGAGCCUUCUACAAAGCAGCCUAGCAGCCCUUACGAAGACAAAGACAAGAAAGAGAAAUCUGCAGUUCAACCUAGUCCCUCUCCGGAAAGGAGCAUCACAGGCCCAGAACCACCUGCUCCCGCCCUGCUCCUUGCUGAGCAACAUGGCAGCUCCCCACAACCUCUUGCAACAACCCCCUUAAGUCAGGAGCCAGUGAAACCCCCAUCUGAGGCAUCCCCAACACGGGGCCACUCACUGCCUAAGUCUCCUGAGAAACUUCCCCAGUCAUCUUCUGAGAGCUGUCCACCAUCCCCUCAACCGACCAAACUUUCUCGGCAUGCCAGCUCUUCCCCUGAAAGUCCUAAGCCCGCACCAGCUCCUGGGUCCCGCCGAGAAAUUUCUUCUUCUCCCGCAUCUAAGAGUCGCUCACAUGGUCGAGUAAAGCGGGAUAAGUCACAUUCUCAUACUCCUUCUCGUAGGGUGGGGAGGUCCCGAAGCCCUGCCACCACUAAGAGGGGGCGGUCUCGGUCUCGAACCCCCACCAAGAGAGGCCAUUCUCGGUCCCCUCAGUGGCGUAGGUCCAGGUCUGCACAGAGGUGGGGACGAUCUAGAAGCCCCCAGCGACGUGGCCGCUCUAGGUCUCCUCAGCGACCAGGCUGGUCCAGGAGCAGAAAUACCCAGAGAAGAGGCAGGUCUAGAUCAGCAAGGCGAGGCAGGUCACACUCUAGAUCGCCAGCCACUAGGGGCAGGUCUCGUUCUAGAACGCCAGCUAGGCGGGGCAGGUCUCGUUCUAGAACGCCAGCCAGGCGGAGAUCACGAUCCAGAACACCUACUAGGCGUAGAUCUCGGUCCAGAACACCAGCCCGGAGGGGUAGGUCUCGCUCCAGAACACCUGCUAGGCGCAGAUCUAGGACCCGAUCACCAGUACGACGGAGGUCUCGUAGUAGAUCGCCAGCCAAGAGAAGUGGCAGGUCACGCUCUAGAACCCCAGCCAGGCGUGGUUGGUCACGCUCUAGAACCCCAGCUAGACGAAGUGGUCGGUCACGCUCCAGAACCCCAGCUAGACGAAGUGGUCGGUCACGCUCCAGAACUCCAGCUAGGAGAGCAAGAUCUCGGUCUAGGAGUCCAGCAAGAAGAGGAAGAUCCCGGAGUAGAAGUCUAGUUAGACGGGGAAGGUCUCAUUCUAGAACACCACAAAGAAGAGGCAGGUCUGGUUCGUCUUCAGAGCGGAAGAACAAAUCCAGAACAUCACAGAGAAGGAGCAGGUCCAACUCAAGCCCAGAAAUGAAAAAAUCCCAUGUUUCUUCGAGGCGGAGCAGGUCUGGCUCUUCACCACGGUCCAAAGCAAAAUCUCACUUGUCCUUGAGACGAAGUCUUUCAGGGUCCUCUCCAUGCCCUAAACAAAAGUCUCAAAGCCCGCCAGUGCGCAGUCGCUCUGGAUCAUCUCAGCCUAAAGCUAAAUCUAGAACACCACCAAGGCGAAGUCGCUCUGGUUCUUCACCCUCUAAUCAGAAAUCUAAAACACCAUCCAGGCAGAGUCAUUCCAGUUCAUCUCCUCAACCUAAAGUGAAAUCUGGAACGCCACCCAGGCAAGGGUGUGUAACAAGUCCCCAGGCAAAUGAACAAUCUGCAACACCACAAAGACAGAGCCGUUCAGAAUCAUCACCUGACCCUGAGGUAAAAUCUAGGACCCCUUCAAGACAUAGCUGCUCUGGAUCCUCUCCUCCAAGAGUGAAAUCUAGCACACCUCCCAGACAGAGCCUGUCUGGGUCGUCAUCUCCACAACCCAAAGUAAAGGCAAUAACGUCACCAGCCCAAAGCUAUUCUCGCUCCUCUUCUCCAAGUCCUAGUAGGGUGAUAUCUAAAACACCGCCAAGGCAAAGCAGAUCAGAGUCUCCCUGUUCCCAGGUAGAAUCUAGAUUGGUGCAAAGACACAGUCAGUCUAGGUCCUCCUCACCAGAUACCAAAGUGAAACCUGGAACACCACCAAGACGAAGUCACUCAGAGUCUACUUCACCAUGCCCCAAAGCAAAGCCCCAAACUCCAUCAGGGCACAGUCUUUCUGGAUCAAGGUCACCAUGUUCCCAAGAGAAGCCUAAAGACUCAGCAGUACAGAGUUGCUCUGGAUCCUCCCUCUGUCCAGUAGUAAAGUCUAGCCCACCUUCAGGAGAGAGCUAUUUCGACUCAUCUCUGCAGCAGAAAGGACAAUCUCAAGCUUCACCAGACCCCAGAUCUGAUACUUCAAGUCCAGAAAUAAGACAGAGUCACUCUGAAUCUCCAUCUCUGCAGAGCAAGUCUCAAACAUCUAAGACUGGCCAGUCUAGGUCCUCAUCUCCAGUUGCUGAGGUAGCACCCAGUUCUCCAGCAAAACAAGAUGGAAACAAAUUGUCAAGUCCUAGGCUGAAAUCUGGAAUGUCUCCUGAGCAGAGCAGGGGCCAUUCAGACUUUUCUCUGUAUCCUGCAAUGGACUCUAAAUCUAUUCCUGGGCCGAGUAGAUUGGAACUUUCUCCUGAAUCAAAAGAGAAAAUGGGUUUACUCCUUCAGGAGGAUGUUGCUGCAUCAUCUCCUAGACUGAGAAACAAAUUGAGUCCUCUAGUUCAGGAUAGGCCUGAAUUCUCACCAGUACUCAAAGAGACAGCUAGAACCUCAUCAGGAGAAAGAGGUAGUGUUGGGUCAUCUCCAGAUAAAAAAGACCGAAGCAAUGUGUUAGCUAAGCCAAGCCAAGAUGAAGAAUUAAUGGAGUUAGAGAAAUCAGAAGAGUCUUCAAACCAGGUCCUACCCCAUUUGUCUCCAGAACUUAAAGAAAUGUAUGGAAGUAACGUUGAAUCAUCUCUUGAAAUAGAAGAAAGUCCUACCAUGUCUGCAACUCACGACCAAAGCCAGUCACAGGCUUCUUUGGAAGCAGACAUCCCUGCAGUGGCCUCAACGUGGAGUGGGCCACAUUUUUCUCCAGAUCAUAAAGAACUGUCUAACUCCCCUUCCAGGGAAGACAGGUUUGGAUCACCUUUAGAAUUUAGAAAUUCAGGCUCUGUUGCAGAAGUGAAUACUGGGUUUUCUCCUGAGGUCAAAGAUUUGAAUGGCCCUUUUCCUAAUCAGUUGGAAACAGAUCCAUUUCCAGACAUGAAAGAACAAUCAAGAAGGUCCUCCAGACGCAGCAGUUCUGAGUUAUCCCCAGAUGCAGUGGGAAAAGUAGGACUGUCUUCAAAUCAAAGUGUCUCUUCACCGGUUCUUGAUGCUGUCCCCAGAACACCCUCGAGAGAAAGAAGCAGUUCUGCUUCUCCUGAACUGAAGGAUGGUUUACCCAGAACUCCUUCAAGGAGAAGCAGGUCUGGGUCUUCCCCAGGACUUCGAGAUGGGUCUGGGACUCCCUCAAGGCACAGCUUAUCCGGGUCUUCUCCUGGAAUGAAAGAUAUACCUAGAACACCGUCCAGGGGGAGAAGUGAAUGUGAUUCUUCUCCAGAACCAAAAGCUUUGCCCCAGACUCCUAGGCCAAGGAGUCGUUCUCUAUCAUCCCCAGAGCUCAACAAGUGUCUUACCCACCAGAGAGAAAGAAGUGGGUCAGAAUCAUCAAUUGAACAGAAGACUGUAGCUAGGACGCCUCUUGGGCAGAGAAGUCCAUCUGGAUCUUCUCAAGAACUUGAUGGGAAACCCAGUACAUCCCCUCAGGAAAGAAGUGAGUCAGACUCUUCUCCUGAUUCUAAAGCUAAUGCACGAAUGCCACUUAGACAGGGGAGUCGCUCUGGAUCAUCUCCAGAGGUGGACAGCAAGUCCCGACCUUCUCCUCUGCGUAGUAGGUCUGGCUCAUCCCCUGAAAUUAAAGAAAAGUCAAGAGUAGCACCCAGGGCACAGAGUGGUUCUGAUUCCUCUCCUGAACCCAAGGCGCCUGCCCCUCGGGUCCUUCCUAGACGGAGCAGCUCAGGUUCAUCAAGCAAAGGUAGAGGUGCUUCUCCCGAAGAAAGCAGCAGUUCUGAGUCCUCUCCAGAACACCCACCAAAGUCCAGAUCUACUAGAAGAAGCUCUAGGUCGUCACCAGAGCCCAAGACCAAGUCUCGCACUCCACCUCGGCGUCGUAGCUCUCGAUCAUCUCCUGAGCUGGCUAGAAAGGCCAGGCUUUCACGGAGAAGUCGCUCUGCAUCAUCCUCGCCAGAGACCCCCUCGAGAACUCCCCCAAGACGCCGGAGAAGUCCCUCAGUGUCUUCCCCAGAGCCAGCUGAAAAGUCAAGAUCCUCGCGCCGGCGGCGUUCGGCUUCAUCCCCACGUACUAAGACAACAUCGAGGAGGGGCCGUUCUCCUUCACCAAAGCCUCGUGGGCUCCAGAGGUCCCGUUCCCGCUCAAGGAGGGAGAAAACCAGAACAGCCCGACGUCGAGAUAGGUCUGGGUCUUCACAGUCAACCUCUCGGAGAAGGCAGCGGAGCAGGUCAAGGUCUAGGGUAACUCGGCGGCGGAGGGGAGGCUCAGGUUACCACUCAAGGUCUCCUGCCCGGCAGGAGAGUUCCCGAACUUCGUCUCGACGCCGAAGAGGCCGCUCUCGGACACCCUUGGCCAGUCGAAAGCGUUCUCGUUCACGCACAUCACCAGCCCCGUGGAAACGCUCCAGAUCUCGGGCCUCUCCAGCCGCUCACCGGCGAUCCAGAUCCAGAACACCUCUGGUCAGCCGACGUCGGUCCAGGUCUCGAACUUCACCGGUCAGUCGGAGACGAUCAAGGUCCAGGACAUCAGUGACUCGACGAAGAUCUCGAUCCAGAGCAUCUCCAGUGAGCCGAAGGAGAUCCAGGUCCAGAACACCACCAGUAACCCGCCGUCGGUCAAGGUCCAGAACACCGACUCGCCGGCGCUCCCGUUCUAGAACUCCACCAGUGACUCGCAGAAGGUCCAGAUCUAGAACCCCACCAGUAACCAGGAGGCGGUCUCGAAGCAGAACCUCUCCAGUCACUCGCAGAAGAUCGAGAUCCAGAACAUCUCCCGUCACCCGUAGGAGAUCUCGCUCUCGCACGUCUCCAGUGACCCGAAGGAGGUCCCGCUCACGAACCUCUCCAGUGACACGCCGCCGAUCCAGGUCCCGAACUCCUCUGGCUAUUCGACGCCGCUCUAGGUCUCGAACCCCACUGUUGCCUCGCAAACGUUCUCGAAGUCGCUCACCACUUGCCAUCCGCCGCCGUUCUAGAUCGCGUACUCCGAGAACAACUCGGGGCAAACGGUCCUUAACAAGGUCUCCCCCGGCCAUCCGCAGGCGCUCUGCGUCUGGAAGUAGUUCUGAUCGUUCGCGUUCUGCUACUCCUCCAGCCACACGGAAUCACUCUGGGUCCCGGACACCUCCAGUAGCACUUAGUAGCUCCAGAAUGAGCUGCUUCAGUCGUCCCAGCAUGUCACCAACUCCCCUGGACCGCUGUAGGUCUCCUGGAAUGCUCGAACCUCUUGGCAGCUCUAGAACACCCAUGUCUGUUCUUCAGCAAGCUGGGGGCUCCAUGAUGGAUGGCCCAGGUCCCCGAAUUCCUGAUCACCCGAGAACAUCUGUGCCAGAAAAUCAUGCUCAGUCAAGAAUCGCACUUGCCCUGACAGCUAUCAGUCUUGGCACUGCGCGGCCACCUCCAUCCAUGUCUGCUGCUGGCCUUGCUGCAAGAAUGUCACAGGUUCCUGCUCCAGUGCCUCUCAUGAGUCUCAGAACGGCCCCAGCUGCCAGCCUUGCCAGCAGGAUUCCUGCGGCCUCUGCAGCAGCUAUGAACCUGGCCAGUGCCAGGACACCUGCCAUACCAACAGCAGUGAACCUGGCUGACUCCAGAACGCCAGCUGCAGCGGCCGCCAUGAACUUGGCUAGCCCCAGAACAGCAGUGGCACCUUCUGCUGUGAACCUUGCUGACCCUCGUACCCCCACGGCCCCAGCUGUGAACCUGGCAGGAGCCAGAACCCCAGCUGCUUUGGCAGCUUUGAGUCUCUCGGGCUCUGGCACACCUCCGAGCGCUGCAAACUACCCCUCUAGCUCCAGAACAGCUCAGGCUCCAGCCCCUGCAAACCUGGUGGGUCCUAGAUCUGCACAUGCCACAGCUCCUGUGAAUAUUGCCAGCUCAAGAACCCCUCCAGCCUUGGCCCCUGCAAGCCUUACCAGUGCUAGAAUGGCUCCAGCCUUGUCUGGUGCAAACCUCACCAGCCCCAGGGUGCCCCUCUCUGCCUAUGAGCGUGUUAGUGGCAGAACCUCACCAACGCUCCUUGACCGAGCCAGAUCCAGAACCCCACCAUCUGCCCCAAGCCAGUCUAGAAUGACCUCUGAGCGGGCUCCCUC